UACGUAGGUGGCAAGCGUUGUCCGGAUUUACUGGGCGUAAAGAGCGCGCAGGCGGUCGUUCAAGUCGCGUGUGAAAGCCCCCGGCUCAACUGGGGAGGGUCACGCGAUACUGAUCGACUCGAAGGCAGGAGAGGGUAGUGGAAUUCCCGGUGUAGUGGUGAAAUGCGUAGAUAUCGGGAGGAACACCAGUGGCGAAGGCGGCCACCUGGACUGUACCUGACGCUAACACGCGAAAGCUAGGGGAGCGAACGGG
rnacentral:rRNA from 1 species